rnacentral:misc_RNA from 1 species
AACGCACAUUGCGCUCUCUGGCAUUCCGGAGAGCAUGCCUGUUUCAGAGUCGUGGAGUCGGUUUGCUCCUGCUUCGAUAAAAGCUGUGCACACUCCUGCUGGCUUUUCAUUGAGCGGGGAUGUGGAUGGGUUUUCUGCUUUUGCUGCGGGUGUUUUUCAUACCCUUUGGCGGAGGCAGAAUCAUCUAAAAGCCAGCGUGCCUUGCCGACCUUUGGGGUGGGCGGUCGACUUUAGUUCCAAGUGCAGCAAAUGCAUUUUUCAUUUGGGACUUUUUGUCGGCACUGAGGCUGCCGUAAAUCAUGUUUGUCAGCUCGAUCUGAAAUCAGGCAAGAAAACCCGCUGAACUUAA